AGAUGGAUCAUUCACAUUGAAUAUACAAACAUUGUCACAUGCUUGCAGUUGCUUACACAAUUGCACGUCAUGUUUUUCUUGAGCCAAACGAACUUAAGGCAAUUGGUAAAUGUCGUGUGUCAAACGAACUGAAAGCAAUUGGUAAAUCACUCUAAUUAAAUAAUAUUAUUAAUUUCACGACUUUCAGCGAUGGAUGUCUCGGAUCUCGUAACGAUGAAGGACGCAGCUAGCUGCGAUACGCAGUGUGACUUGCAAACUUCUGAGAAUCAUUAGAUUUUUGAACGCAAAAGGCACUCUUAGGCUCUGCUUAGGAGUAUGUUCACUUCAGUGCUUUAUAUGUUUGUUGUCUUAAUUGGGAGACAACGUGGAUAGUUGCUAUUCUUAUGGCCGCUAAAAUCGAAUGGUCUUACCUCUUUGGUGAUCCCUUAGAGAGAUUGACCCAGUUGUUUUUCAAACAAGCCUGAAUUUGAACAAGGCUACCCGCUGAAUUUAAGCAUAUUAUUAAGCGGAGGAAAAGAAACUAACUAGGAUUCCCUUAGUAACGGCGAGUGAACAGGGAAGAGCUCAAACUGAAAAUCGGCAGUUUACUGUCGAAUUGUAGUCUCACGAAGUGCAGCCUGUGAUUGUUCUGGGUUAAGUCUCUUGGAAAAGAGUACCAGAGAGGGUGAGAGUCCCGUCUUUGCUCUGAGACAUUCACAUUCGGUGCAUUUUCAAAGAGUCGCGUUCCUUGAGAUUGGAGCGCUAAGUGGGUGAUAAAUUUCAUCUAAAGCUAAAUACUAACGAGAUUCCGAUAGCAUACAAGUACCGUGAGGGAAAGAUGAAAAGGACUUUGAAAAGAGAGUUAAAAGGAACUGAAAUCGCUGAAAGGGAAGAGGAGGGUCUCGACUGUCUAGCAAUUCUCUGUGUCUGUCUUUGCUUUUAGCAUUGGUUGGACGUUGGAGUUCUGCGGUGACUCUGGAAGUGGUUAUCGAAAUUGAGCAAAUCGUUGAUCGGCCCCUUAAGGGUGUCCGUUCUCUGCUGUUUUCAGUUCGUAUGAUCAGUCCACUAGUGCGACACGUAAGUGGUUGCAUUAUAGUAUCCCAGAGAUGUCGUUUCUCUCCUUCCCGUCUUGAAACACGGACCAAGGAGUCUAACUUAUAUGCGAGUACAAGGGUGUCAAACUCACGUGCGAAAUGAAAGUAAUUGUCAGGAAGGGCAACCUGCACUGGCGCCCGGCUACCAAGCUGAGGCUGAGCAUAUAGGUUAGGACCCGAAAGAUGGUGAACUAUGCCUGAGUAGGGUGAAGCCAGAGGAAACUCUGGUGGAGGCUCGUAGCGAUACUGACGUGCAAAUCGUUCGUCAAACUUGGGUAUAGGGGCGAAAGACUAAUCGAACCAUCUAGUAGCUGGUUCCCUC
rnacentral:misc_RNA from 1 species